rnacentral:misc_RNA from 1 species
GAUGAAGAACGUAGCGAAAUGCGAUAAGUAAUGUGAAUUGCAGAAUUCAGUGAAUCAUCGAAUCUUUGAACGCACAUUGCGCCCGCCAGCAUUCUGGCGGGCAUGCCUGUUCGAGCGUCAUUUCAACCCUCGAGCCCCCCCGGGGGCCUCGGUGUUGGGGGACGGCACACCAGCCGCCCCCGAAAUGCAGUGGCGACCUCGCCGCAGCCUCCACUGCGUAGUAGCACACACCUCGCACCGGAGCGCGGAGACGGUCACGCCGUAAAACGCCCAACUUCUUAGAGUUGACCUCGGAUCAGGUAGGAAUACCCGCUGAACUUAAGCAUAUCAAUAAGCAGAGGA